rnacentral:rRNA from 1 species
UACGGAGGGUGCAAGCGUUAAUCGGAAUUACUGGGCGUAAAGCGCACGCAGGUGGCUGAGUCAGUCGAUUGUGAAAGCCCUGGGCUUAACCUGGGAAUUGCAGUCGAUACUACUCAGCUAGAGUAUGGGGAGAGGGUAGUGGAAUUCCCGGUGUAGCGGUGAAAUGCGUAGAUAUCGGGAGGAACAUCAGUGGCGAAGGCGGCUACCUGGCCCAAUACUGACACUCAGGUGCGACAGCGUGGGGGAGCAAACAGG